rnacentral:lncRNA from 1 species
CCACCGUUGUUUGGGAGAUUUUAAUGGUUUUAAAUGUGGAAUAUUUAGGAGAGUUUAUUGUUAUGAAUUAUGGAAUUUUUAGAUGAGUUUUGGAUAGGUUUGUGAAUUUCCGAAGUUUGGUAAUUUUGGCGGAUUAAUAAGGUAGAAUCCGGCCGUUGGAUUAAAAUCAUAUAAUCUGUGGAAGGGUGUAGUUAAGGCUGCUGGUUUUAGUAUUGAGGUGUGGACCGUAUCGAAGUUAGACAAUGAUGAGCGUGAGUAUGGCUCUCGGUUAAUUUUGCCCAUUUUGUUUAAAUAUUGGAUUUUUAGUUGGGAAAUUAAUUAUUUAUAUUUGUGCCAGAGUUCGAGGAAACCUCAUUGGAGUGGCGAUUUAGAUUUCGUCGGGCUUAUGCCUAGAGUUGUGAGUGGACCUUCGUUUUAAUUGAAAAACAUGCGAUGAAUUAUUUUGUUGAUCAUUUAUUUCUUCUGAUGAGACUUAUUGAUUUUCUCGGUUAUUUGGCAAUUUUCCUCCUUUGGAGAGUUCCCGAAAAUGAGAUUUUCGGUGGAUAUGUUUAUUGGAUGUUAUGAGUAUAGUAUGUAUAUAAAUGCUAGCUAGCCAUAAGUGCUUGGUCCGUCAUAAUGAGGUAAAAUACCAUUAUGGCAUGACGUGAGUGUUAGACACAAGCGUCAUAGCCCUAUAUGAAAACUACAUUAUUUUCUGGUUUAUUUAGGUUUUCAUAUAGGGAGUCCACACAUAUAUAUACACCGUCCUCUUCGGUCAUGAUGAGGAAAAAUUCCAUUAUGGCGUGACAUGAGCGUUAGACGCAAGCGUCGUAGCCUUGUAUGAAUUUCUAUUUUUCUAAUUUGUUCAUAAAAUUCAUACAAGGAGUCUGACGAGUGUAAAUACAUACACAUAUAUGUUUAUAUAUAGUUUAGCCUAAGAGGCUCCAUUUUAUUUGAGUUGGUGACUAGCCGGAGCUAGUCGUGAAAUUACCAGUUUAUGAGUUGAGCGCUUUUGAGUGGUUGCAUGCAGUAUAAUUUCUUCUGAAAUUA